rnacentral:rRNA from 1 species
UGGGGAAUUUUGGACAAUGGGCGAAAGCCUGAUCCAGCAAUGCCGCGUGUGUGAAGAAGGCCUUCGGGUUGUAAAGCACUUUUGUCCGGAAAGAAAUCCUUGGCUCUAAUACAGUCGGGGGAUGACGGUACCGGAAGAAUAAGCACCGGCUAACUACGUGCCAGCAGCCGCGGUAAUACGUAGGGUGCAAGCGUUAAUCGGAAUUACUGGGCGUAAAGCGUGCGCAGGCGGUUUGCUAAGACCGAUGUGAAAUCCCCGGGCUCAACCUGGGAACUGCAUUGGUGACUGGCAGGCUAGAGUAUGGCAGAGGGGGGUAGAAUUCCACGUGUAGCAGUGAAAUGCGUAGAGAUGUGGAGGAAUACCGAUGGCGAAGGCAGCCCCCUGGGCCAAUACUGACGCUCAUGCACGAAAGCGUGGGGAGCAAAACAGGAUUAGAUACCCUGGUAGUCCACGCCCUAAACGAUGUCAACUAGUUGUUGGGGAUUCAUUCCUUAGUAACGUAGCUAACGCGUGAAGUUGACCGCCUGGGGAGUACGGUCGCAAGAUUAAAACUCAAAUGAAUUGACGGGGUCAUA